UGAGAUAAGAGAUUUGUGACUCUUGAGUG
rnacentral:piRNA from 1 species